GAGUAACCUGCCCCUGACUCUGGGAUAAGCCCGGGAAACUGGGUCUAAUACCGGAUAUGACCGCCUCCGGCAUCGGAUGGUGGUGGAAAGUUUUUCGUUUGGGGAUGGGCUCGCGGCCUAUCAGCUUGUUGGUGGGGUAGUGGCCUACCAAGGCGACGACGGGUAGCCGGCCUGAGAGGGCGACCGGCCACACUGGGACUGAGACACGGCCCAGACUCCUACGGGAGGCAGCAGUGGGGAAUAUUGCGCAAUGGGCGAAAGCCUGACGCAGCGACGCCGCGUGGGGGAUGACGGCCUUCGGGUUGUAAACCUCUUUCAGCAGGGACGAAGUUGACGUGUACCUGCAGAAGAAGCGCCGGCUAACUACGUGCCAGCAGCCGCGGUAAUACGUAGGGCGCAAGCGUUGUCCGGAAUUAUUGGGCGUAAAGAGCUCGUAGGUGGCUGGUCGCGUCUGCCGUGAAAGCCCGCAGCUUAACUGCGGGUCUGCGGUGGAUACGGGCCGGCUAGAGGUAGGUAGGGGCAAGUGGAAUUCCUGGUGUAGCGGUGAAAUGCGCAGAUAUCAGGAGGAACACCGGUGGCGAAGGCGGCUUGCUGGGCCUUACCUGACGCUGAGGAGCGAAAGCGUGGGGAGCGAACAGGAUUAGAUACCCUGGUAGUCCACGCUGUAAACGUUGGGCGCUAGGUGUGGGGAUCUUCCACGAUCUCCGUGCCGGAGCUAACGCAUUAAGCGC
rnacentral:rRNA from 1 species